AUUAAGGGCCUGAUCCAAAGCCCAUUGAUGUUUGUGGGAGUCUUUCCACUGACUUCAAUUGGUUUUGGAUCAGGGCCUUAUUUAU
rnacentral:pre_miRNA from 1 species